UAUCAGUUUUAUUGGACAAUUGAAGAGAACAAGAGAUCUGCUUCUUCAAUUCAAAUGGAAAUUUGAGCUCUAGAGGUUCGAUGCUGAGAAGCUCUCCCGUGCUCAUCUCGAAGGACUGGGAAAUUCCCAAAAAAAAAAAAAGAGUAGUUUCUGGAAAGGAGAUUUGGAGAAGAUCCGGAAAUAUAUGUAUAUGAGAGUGUGGAAUCUGAUUAUGAAAAGUGCAUUCAGAGAAGACGAUAGGUAGUUGGGAGUUGCAAAUUGCAAAUUUUAUUAUGGCGUCUUCUUCCCUU
rnacentral:misc_RNA from 1 species